UCCAGACUCAACUUCACAGACGAAGAAGUGGAAUACCGACGAGAUUCAACUGCACGUUCCCGGCCAUCGUUCAUAAACACAUGAGAGACGGGAAAAAGGAAACACUUUACGGGAAACAAAAGGCAAACAAAAAUUAUGACAAAAAAAGUAUGUAAAUUACCCAGAUUUACAUGCAAGAAAAGAACGAAUUUUGGAAAUACUGUGAUUGGGGAAAUCUUACUCUUGUUUAUUUUGUGUCACACACCAAGAAGAAGAAAGCAAGAAAGAAGAAGAAGAUCGUGAAAAGAUUUAGAGAGAGAGAGAAAGAAACAGAGAGAAUUGAGAAAUCAACCGUAUCAUUCAUGUUAUUUUCCCGCUAUACAACUCGUAUCCCUUUUAUACAACAACAAC